UGCCAGCCGCCGCGGUAAUACGUAGGUCCCAAGCGUUGUCCGGAUUUACUGGGUGUAAAGGGUGCGCAGGCGGACAAGUAAGUUAGAGGUGAAAUCCCACGGCUCAACCGUGGAACUGCCUCUGAUACUGCUUGACUCGAAUACGGGAGAGGUCGGUGGAAUUCCAGGUGUAGCGGUGAAAUGCGUAGAUAUCUGGAAGAACACCAGUGGCGAAGGCGGCCGACUGGCCCGUUAUUGACGCUCAUGCACGAAAGCGUGGGGAGCGAACAGGAUUAGAUA
rnacentral:rRNA from 1 species